GCAGUCCCACAAUUGCCUUAGUCUCAUUUAUUUGUGGUAGUAUUAAGGUUUAUUUGUUUUCUGGUUUGCACUUCUUCUGAAAUUAUUUCUCUUAGUUUAUUCAUUUAACAAAAUGUUCCUUCCUGUGCCACAGAAGAAAGUGCCUAUAAGGCCUACAUAGGUUCUUCAGUCUGCAAACCUCCCUUUGAGAACAUUUCUUUCAACUCACAUUGCUGGAGCUCCUAAAUAUCUUUCAAGGGCCCCAGAUCUCUGCAAGUCUCCAGGACGAGUUCUUCCAUUAUUUCCAAAGCAGAUGGGAUCCAGCAUCCAACAUGUCAAGCCCAGCAAGGGACUUAAGUAGAGGAAACUCAACUGGAGAAGUCUCAAUGGCUCAGCCAUGCCCAGGCAACAGACUGCAGUCCCCCAGGACUCCUCCUUCCUUUGAAGCUCAAGAAAUGAAUUACAAUUGUUUUUUUGGUGAAUGAAGUUGCUCUCUGCAGGAACUCUGCCUUAGUCAUUCCAGAAAUAUGAAGAUGGGUUUUUUGCAAGAAGAAAAAGGGAUGUAAACAGCUGAGGAAAUGAGACCUACUGAAGAAGAGUUUAUGUCUGGAGAAAUGUCCUCAAGCAAGGAAGUUUAAAGUCUUCAAAUAAGG